rnacentral:rRNA from 1 species
UACGGAGGAUACGAGCGUUAUCCGGAUUUAUUGGGUUUAAAGGGUGCGUAGGUGGGGAAUUAAGUCAGUGGUGAAAAGCUGUGGCUCAACCAUAGUCUUGCCAUUGAAACUGGUUUUCUUGAGUGUAGAUGAUGUAGGCGGAACGCGUAGUGUAGCGGUGAAAUGCAUAGAUAUUACGCAGAACUCCGAUUGCGAAGGCAGCUUACAAAGCUACAACUGACACUGAUGCACGAAAGCGUGGGGAUCAAACAGG